UACGUAGGGGGCAAGCGUUGUCCGGAUUUAUUGGGCGUAAAGAGCGUGUAGGCGGCUUGCCAGGUCUGUUGUGAAAACUCGAGGCUCAACCUCGAGAUGUCGGCGGAAACCGUCUGGCUAGAGUCCGGAAGAGGAGAGUGGAAUUCCUGGUGUAGCGGUGAAAUGCGCAGAUAUCAGGAAGAACACCUAUGGCGAAGGCAGCUCUCUGGGACGGUACUGACGCUGAGACGCGAAAGCGUGGGGAGCGAACAGG
rnacentral:rRNA from 1 species